AUUGAACGCUGGCGGCAGGCCUAACACAUGCAAGUCGAGCGAGCGGCGGACGGGUGAGUAAUGUAUGGGGACUGCCCGAUAGAGGGGGAUAACUACUGGAAACGGUGGCUAAUACCGCAUACUAUCGGAUAACCCAUAUGGGAUUAGCUAGUAGGUGGGGUAAAGGCUCACCUAGGCGACGAUCUCUAGCUGGUCUGAGAGGAUGAUCAGCCACACUGCGACUGAGACACGGCUCAGACUCCUACGGAAGCAGCAGUGGGGAAUAUUACACGAUAGGGGAAAGCCUAAUGCAGCCAUGCCGCGUGUAUGCAGAAGGCCUUACGGUUGUAAAGUACGUUACGCGGGAAGGCGUUACCCGCAGAAGAAGCACCGGCUAACUCCGUGCCAGCAGCCGCGGUAAUUC
rnacentral:rRNA from 1 species